AAAGUCAAAUGAAUCAUGCAUUGACUACAUGUUUGCCAUGAAAGAGCUUGGACGCCGAGGCAAAAUGGCGGACUACGUGGCUAUAAAAUAUGUUGUAGAUGGUAUACAAGAUCAA